CCGCGUGUACUACCUGCAGCGGAGCCAGCCCCCGCUCCUGACGCUCAUGGUGGACCGCUACCUGACCCACACCAACGACACCGCCUUCCUCCGGGACAACAUCGGGACCCUAGCCUUGGAAUUGGACUUCUGGACGGAGAACAGGACCAUCUCUGUGAGCUCGGGGGGGAAAGAGCUACGUCCUGAAUCACUAUGCUGUCCCUUAUGGGGGACCCAGGCUGCUUACCAACCACAGGAAGGCUGCAGAGGAAACCUGCCCCAACGUAUUGGGGACACAGUGGCUGCAUCCCUACUCUCUUGGGCCAUCCCUGGGGCAGCAGAGGCCCCAGAGGACGAAGACAGCAGGCAGAACCCCCCCAGGACUGCAGGCUGGGGCCUGUAGAGAGGGCCGCUGUGGGAGAGCUCUGUCCUGGCAAGAGGAGAGGGGGAGCUGGCAGAGUGAGGACACGGAGGAGGCUUUGCUUCUUUACAGCUUGGCCACCAGCCUGCACCGCAGCGCCCCCCUGGCCUCCCAAGGUGAGACCCACGUGCUGGCCAAGGCCUGGAGCAAGAUCAGGAGCCUCAAGGCUCCUCCCCCUCCUCCCGCUCAAACCACAGCCAUCUGGGG
rnacentral:lncRNA from 1 species